rnacentral:rRNA from 1 species
AGAGUUUGAUCCUGGCUCAGGACGAACGCUGGCGGCGUGCCUAAUACAUGCAAGUAGAACGCUGAAGACUUUAGCUUGCUAAAGUUGGAAGAGUUGCGAACGGGUGAGUAACGCGUAGGUAACCUGCCUACUAGCGGGGGAUAACUAUUGGAAACGAUAGCUAAUACCGCAUAACAGCAUUUAACACAUGUUAGAUGCUUGAAAGGAGCAAUUGCUUCACUAGUAGAUGGACCUGCGUUGUAUUAGCUAGUUGGUGAGGUAACGGCUCACCAAGGCGACGAUACAUAGCCGACCUGAGAGGGUGAUCGGCCACACUGGGACUGAGACACGGCCCAGACUCCUACGGGAGGCAGCAGUAGGGAAUCUUCGGCAAUGGGGGCAACCCUGACCGAGCAACGCCGCGUGAGUGAAGAAGGUUUUCGGAUCGUAAAGCUCUGUUGUAAGAGAAGAACGUGUGUGAGAGUGGAAAGUUCACACAGUGACGGUAACUUACCAGAAAGGGACGGCUAACUACGUGCCAGCAGCCGCGGUAAUACGUAGGUCCCGAGCGUUGUCCGGAUUUAUUGGGCGUAAAGCGAGCGCACGCGGUUUAAUAAGUCUGAAGUUAAAGGCAGUGGCUUAACCAUUGUUCGCUUUGGAAACUGUUAGACUUGAGUGCAGAAGGGGAGAGUGGAAUUCCAUGUGUAGCGGUGAAAUGCGUAGAUAUAUGGAGGACACCGUGGCGAAAGCGGCUCUCUGGUCUGUAACUGACGCUGAGGCUCGAAAGCGUGGGGAGCAAACAGAUUAAGAUA